UACAGAGGGGGCAAGCGUUAUUCGGAAUUAUUGGGCGUAAAGAGCUCGUAGGCGGUUCGUCACGUCGGGGUGUGAAAUUUCGGGGCUCAACCCCGAACUUGCAGUGGGUACGGGCAGACUAGAGUGUGGUAGGGGAGACUGGAAUUCCUGGUGUAGCGGUGAAAUGCGCAGAUAUCAGGAGGAACACCGAUGGCGAAGGCGGCAUCCUGGACCAAUAUUGACGGCUGAGGAGCGAAAGCCAGGGGAGCAAACGGG
rnacentral:rRNA from 1 species